UAGGGAAUCUUCCACAAUGGGCGCAAGCCUGAUGGAGCAACGCCGCGUGAGUGAAGAAGGUCUUCGGAUCGUAAAACUCUGUUGUUAGAGAAGAACACGAGUGAGAGUAACUGUUCAUUCGAUGACGGUAUCUAACCAGCAAGUCACGGCUAACUACGUGCCAU
rnacentral:rRNA from 1 species